rnacentral:rRNA from 1 species
UACGGAGGGUGCAAGCGUUAUCCGGAUUCACUGGGUUUUAAGGGUGCGUAGGCGGGCAGGUAAGUCAGUGGUGAAAUCUCCGGGCUCAACCCGGAAACUGCCAUUGAUACUAUCUGUCUUGAAUAUCGUGGAGGUAAGCGGAAUAUGUCAUGUAGCGGUGAAAUGCUUAGAUAUGACAUAGAACACCAAUUGCGAAGGCAGCUUACUACCCGAAUAUUGACACUGAGGCACGAAAGCGUGGGGAUCAAACAGG